rnacentral:rRNA from 1 species
UUUAUGGAGAGUUUGAUCCUGGCUCAGGAUGAACGCUGGCGGCGUGCCUAAUACAUGCAAGUCGAGCGAACGGACGAGAAGCUUGCUUCUCUGAUGUUAGCGGCGGACGGGUGAGUAACACGUGGAUAACCUACCUAUAAGACUGGGAUAACUUCGGGAAACCGGAGCUAAUACCGGAUAAUAUUUUGAACCGCAUGGUUCAAAAGUGAAAGACGGUCUUGCUGUCACUUAUAGAUGGAUCCGCGCUGCAUUAGCUAGUUGGUAAGGUAACGGCUUACCAAGGCAACGAUGCAUAGCCGACCUGAGAGGGUGAUCGGCCACACUGGAACUGAGACACGGUCCAGACUCCUACGGGAGGCAGCAGUAGGGAAUCUUCCGCAAUGGGCGAAAGCCUGACGGAGCAACGCCGCGUGAGUGAUGAAGGUCUUCGGAUCGUAAAACUCUGUUAUUAGGGAAGAACAUAUGUGUAAGUAACUGUGCACAUCUUGACGGUACCUAAUCAGAAAGCCACGGCUAACUACGUGCCAGCAGCCGCGGUAAUACGUAGGUGGCAAGCGUUAUCCGGAAUUAUUGGGCGUAAAGCGCGCGUAGGCGGUUUUUUAAGUCUGAUGUGAAAGCCCACGGCUCAACCGUGGAGGGUCAUUGGAAACUGGAAAACUUGAGUGCAGAAGAGGAAAGUGGAAUUCCAUGUGUAGCGGUGAAAUGCGCAGAGAUAUGGAGGAACACCAGUGGCGAAGGCGACUUUCUGGUCUGUAACUGACGCUGAUGUGCGAAAGCGUGGGGAUCAAACAGGAUUAGAUACCCUGGUAGUCCACGCCGUAAACGAUGAGUGCUAAGUGUUAGGGGGUUUCCGCCCCUUAGUGCUGCAGCUAACGCAUUAAGCACUCCGCCUGGGGAGUACGACCGCAAGGUU